UAGAUGAUAAAGGGUUUUGUGCUUCUUUUCUUUUUAAUUUAACAGUGUUUUCUCUUUUGUGGUUAAACGAUUUCAUGAAUUUGAAGAGGAUGUUCCUUUCCGCGAUCGUCUGAACAAGGUACAAAACGACCAACCCCUUCGAAUAGCUUACGUUCUUUGAUUAGAUUCUGAUGGGCCGCCUGACAUCCACCGUCGAAACCCCGGAACGAAGACGCCAAUCUGACUGCGAAAACGGCCGUUACAUAUCUGAAUCUGAUGGUUCCCCAAUCUACCAUCGCCGCCGCCGUAGCCCUAGCUACGAUGCCUUUGAACGCGACAACCAGAACCGCGUUGGUAACCAGCAGCGUAAGCGUUCUUGUUCACCUGAAUACAGGAACCUUAGAAGAGGAAGCUCUGUCGGAAUUCCUGAAAGAAGACACCGUUUUGACCGUGAAAAUGGUCGCUACGCAUCCCAAUCCGAUGAUUCUACCGAUUACGGCCGCCGUCGCCGUAGUCCCAGUUACGAAAUCUAUGAUCGCGAUCAACCUCGCAACCGCCACCGUUCCGAGUCACCUGAAGACCGAAACUGUAGAAGACGGAGCCCCGCCCAUGACCGAACCAUAAAUUCUCUGCCGAAACAAUUCGGCAGAAAUCGUAGCUACCUGGACCGAGAUUAUCGGAACGGAAAACAUUCACAGUCCGAAUCGGAUGAGGAAUUGAAGGGAUUGAACUUUGAAGAGUAUAGGAGGCUGAAGAGGCAGAAGAUGAGGAAGGCAUUGAGAUUCUGUAUUUGGGAGAAUACACCGAGUCCGCCUAGGACUGAAGACGAUGAUUUGGAGGAUAAAGCUGAUGAAAUUUCGGAGAAGUAUGGCGAUGAGAAGAGCGAUUCUGAUAAAGAAACAGAGAAGAAAAUCAAUAAGAGAGUGAAAGCCAAGUUUGAGUCUGAAAAAUCUGGAUGUAGCGACUCUGAAAGUGAGCCAGAAUCUGAAUCGGAUGAUUUGAGGUCUCGGAAGAGGAAGAAGGGGUCGAGUUCUAAGCGUAGAAGUAAGAAAAGCAAACGUGCAAGUAGGAAAACAUCAUCUUACAGUGAUAGCGAAUCUGAUGAGAGUGAGAGUGAAUCUGAUGAUGAGGAAAAUAGGAAGCUGAGAAGGAAAUCGAGGAGAGAGCAGAGUAGGCGAAAUAAGUGUAGCAAGAAAAGCAGUAGAGGAAAAGGAAGCAGGAAGAAGCGCAGCUAUAAUGAGAGUGGGAGUGGUGAAAGUGAAACUGAAAUAUCUGAUAUGAGUCAAUCUUCGAAUGAUCUUGUCGAGUCCAAGAAGCGGAAAAGCUCUUCAUAUUCAAGGUCUAGGAGGACUAAGAAAAGGAGAGGAUCAGAAACUGAUAGUCAAGGUUCAUAUAUGGAUAAUAGCUCAGAUUAUGAUGUGGAUGCCAAGAAUAAAACAAAGGCAAAUGACGCUAAGAUUGCUGAAAUGAGUGCUGAGGCUCUUAUGUUUAAAGAAAUGAUAGAGGCUCAGAAGAAACCAGCAUUGGAUAAUGAGCCAAUGGUUGGGCCAGCACCGUUGCCAAGAGCAGAGGGGCAUAUAAGUUACGGUGGUGCUUUGAGGCCUGGUGAAGGUGAUGCCAUUGCACAGUAUGUGCAACAAGGGAAGCGUAUCCCACGAAGAGGUGAAGUGGGUCUUUCUGCUGAGGAGAUUCAAAAGUUUGAGGGCCUUGGGUUUGUGAUGAGUGGUAGUAGACAUCAGAGAAUGAAUGCCAUUCGUAUUAGGAAAGAAAACCAGGUUUACAGUGCAGAGGACAAGAGGGCAUUGGCAAUGUUUAACUAUGAAGAGAAAGCAAAACGAGAACACAAGGUUAUGGCUGAUUUGCAACGGCUUGUGCAGCGCCAUAUUGGGCAGGAUGUUGGUCCUACUCACAAUCCUUUUGCUGGAAAAGAUGGGGCUGAUGCGUGAAUCUCAUGCCACAGGAUGUUGUAGAAUGUGUUUGUUCUCUUUUUUACCCUUAAUACAUUCACAGUGGAUAAGGAAUCCAUAGCUCAGAUUGGUGGAUAUUAUGGUUCCUGCUCAACUUGCUGAAUAUUGGAGAAAGACAUGCUAGAGGGGUACUUGGGAAAAUUUUUGGAGAAUGACAAAGAAGAAAGAGAGCUUGUAGCAUGAUAUACAGCCUGUCUAGGAGGUUUUAUUUAAAUGAAGGGAUUUUACUAGAGUGCAACAUGCUAGAGAAAAGGAAACGGUUCUGAUAUCAUAUUCUUGAACUUGUCACUAGAAUUGAACAAAGUCAUCAUCCGAGAUUUGGCAGUAGGUGGGAUUACAGAUCAUAUCUUUUCUACAGCAGUGGUUUGUAUGGACAGCCCCGUUUAGACAAUCAGGUAAACUACCUUUCCUAGGAGGAGCAUUGGCCUAUUGUGUUGGGGUUGAUUAGAAAUUAGCACGACUACUGAUGCUACUCGAGAAGGGUUGAUUCCUUUACUAAAGUAUCGGCUACCGAAAAUAUUGUGGUGGGCAGUGGGCAAGGAGUCAAACAGCAAGAUCCAUGGGACAUGGGGCCUUAGCCCUAGAGGGGGAAAGCUUGAAAAAUAAAACAGAGUUAGUUCACCCUUUUUUUAAGUACUUACAGUUUUGAUUAUGAAAAAGAAUUGAUACUUUCGUUUCCGAUUUUCCAGUUUACAUAUAAGUCUUAGGUUUAAGCUUGAUUAAAAUAGAGCCCAUGGUUUGUUUUUUUAAUUAAGGUGGAAUCUCCCAUUUCCAUACUCCCAUGCAUUUACGAAAUUGUGUUAAGAGAUGGGCCCAGCAGUAUGAAUUCCAGCUGUCGAACACUCAGUCAAGAACAUUAAUGCAGGGAAAAUGAUAUAAAGCUAGUUUCAGGUAAAAUACUCUGUUCUACUUGAUAAAAAGAAAAAAAAAAAAAGGUAGUUGUUGGCCCCAAACUACGUCGCAGAAAAAGUCCAAACAGCAGCUUUAGCUUUCAUAAUUGUCAUUAGUUAGGCAUAAACAUCACCAUCUCUCCUACAACAUGGUUUUGCAAGUGCAAUUGAAUAUGGGUUACGCAUCUUAGAUGAUUUGGAGCUUUCAGCACAUGGGAAUGAGGUUGCUUGUUGAAACAUGUCAAAGAAAAAGGGUGUUCAAGUUUUAGUCUUUGUUUUUUUCGUCUCCAUUCUGUUUAGUUAGCCAACAUGAAUGACAUGAUUGGAGUAGUUAAGAGAAAUAAGGAGUUUUAAUAGUUACUUGUUGAAACCGGGGGACAAACAAACGAGAAAACGGCAUAAAGGUUGAAAGUUGCACUGUCUUCGAUUGGGCAACCCCUAUUUCCACGACAUAAGAGUUGUGCUACUACUAGUAAUGGGAGAGGUCAUAGAUCAAACUGCUAAUUACAUCAAAUUAACUAAUCUUAAUAUCGAAUUAUGAUGAUUCCUGUCAUCAU